CUGAGAGUGGCAGUGGGGAGCCUUCGUCGGGCGGACACGGGGUGUCUUGGGCGGGGGCAUGGUGACUUCCCUGCCUAGGCGGACGGUGAGAAGAGCAGCCCCACACGGGCGCGCUCGCCCUCGUCCGGGUGGAGAGGGGCCGUGUCUCCUGGAGAGGGGCAAAGGGACACCGCCGCUGUAGCGGCCCCGGCGGUGCCCUCGCAGAGUCGGACCCCGGGGUAGAGCCCACCGCGGGGUGCGCAGUGCAAGGCGGGCUCGGAGCGCGGGCGGACACCGGGCCCAGCCGCGGCGGGGAUGGGCGCGGCCGCGUCCCGUGGAACCUGAGAAGGAAACCUGUUGGUAGAGCCUGAAACAUGGCCGAUUGCUUUGGAGGGUGAUCCAGCCCAGAUCUGUAUCGGGGACUGAUAGCUGAGUUCUCUACGAGGCUUCAUUCGGAAUUGCCCGUUUCUGAGGAGCGGGCGGUGCCCGAGCCGCGGCUUCGAGCUUCCAGCUCCAUCCAUGGAUGAGGGGAAGCUGUUGAUGGUGAUUUUCUCAGGUAUGGUGAUGGGACAUGAGCACCAGCAGAAGAGUACAUCCUUCCAUGGCUCCAUGCAAAUUGAAGGAGAGGACAAGGUUCUAAGAAGCUGGCGGAGCCUGAUAUCUUCAGCAGUUUUCUGAGAAGCGUUUCUGAAAAAAAAAACUUUCAUGUUCAUUCAGGCAGACUCCUAAUGUUAAUUAACUGUCUCUAAAACUCAGAAGCAGAAUAAGCCACUUAUCAUCAACUCUAUCAUGUUGCUCACGGACCCCACUGUAAGGCUGUAUGCACGGAUAAACCCUGGGAGACAGGAAUCGCCUGGCACUCAUUGCCGCAGGAAAGGGAAUCAGUGUGAUCGCUGGUUCCCAUGAAUGGCAUAGCUCCGCCAAGCCCCAAGUGAGAGCGGCCGAUCCUCCCACACCUGGCAUAACGCUGAGACACCGGACAGAAAACACUUCCCUCUUUCUACCUGCGCCUUCCAAGGGGCUUCAACCAAAAACACGUACACACACACACUGCCCGCAGGAAUGCCACCAAAUCUGAACAAAUGCUGCUCCAACAGGUAGGGGCUUGGGUCCACCCUUAGGACUGAUACUGGAUCUACUCAAGAAAUUGCAACCACGCUUUGGCUCCUCCCUGCUUCAAAGAUCCCAGGUGAAACCAGGGACUGUCGCAGCUGCACACCCCACACUCCCCUGGUCAGACCAAUUGCUCUCACCAGCUCGGCCGCAGGUUUUCCACAGCACAUUCCCAGACCUCUCGUGUUUUGGAGUGUUUUUUAUCGUGCUGCAGCGACACGAGCACAGCUCGAGCUGUUGUGUGCAUUCCAGUCCUGGUGUUUAGUCUGGGGUCUCUUUGUGUCCAUUGGCUCCUGCAGAGUCUCGGGAUGAUUUCCCCCUCAUCCCCUACCCCGCAGGGCCCGUGCCCUUCCUUAGACGCAGAGUCCUCCCCUAUUCCCGGCUGGCUUCCUACCAUCCAGGCCACAGCCUGCAGCUAGCACCUUGCACACCGAGCUACCUGCACCAAAGGUGUUUGUUGAAAACUCCAGCACGGAGACUCUGCUUUCAUACCAACACAUGCAGAGCAAAAAGGGGAUUUGUUCAGCAUCACGAUGUAACCAGCUGUUUACUACAACAAUAGUAAACAAAGACUUGUAAUGGAACCACAGCCGGUGUAAUUCCCAUCCGUGUUGGCAGGCCGGGGCUACAUUUCUGAAUAUAUAUUAGAAAUAAAUCACAACAAGCUCCAUUCAAAUGAAGCAAAGCAGUGUAAUUAUGAAUUAAUCAAGUAUGAAGGGCCAAAAAAAGGCUGCCCUGAAGUCUCCACUUGUCCUCAUGUGAAGAAGAGCUACCUUCUUCCACAAUUACACUUAAAACUAUGUGAAUUGCUUUUGCUUGGAGAUAUAUGAGGAAUUUUUUACUGAAAGCAGCUGAAAUUAGUCAGGAGAAGGGGAAGAAAACAGCCCUGCAGUCUGCACAAAGUGUGCCCACAAGUGUGGGCACAACCAGCCUCAGCUUGCUGUGUGUCUUUAAAGGAUUUCGAUGGUAAGGGUGGUCUGUGCUACCCGGGCGCGGGGGUGGGUCAGUCAGCACGGUUGGUCACCGCUUCCUCGAGUACUAUUUUAGGGACCCUGGGGUGCUGUGCCCCAGUGAUGGAGCCGGGUGAUGCUUGUCAGCCCCGCCGGGGAGCGAGGGCUGCGCGCGCAGCGCUCUGAUAUUGGCGUCCCUGUCGGGCAGCCCCGCGGCAGUCUGGAUAUCCUGCUGGGAAACAGCAGAGGGCAGCCCUGCCUGCGCCGCAGCGCGCCUCCGGGAACAGCGCGUCGCUGCCGCCACGGCCAGUCUCGGGCGGCGGGGACGACCGGGCCCAAACGCACUGCACUGGGAUCUGUUCUCGUCGGGCACGGGAAAAGAAAGGUAGUGUAGAACUCAACAAUCCUGUGUUUUGCUUAGGGACUGCAGUCCGUUGGUAGACGGGCGGUUAUUUUUAUUUGUUUUAAUUGAUCCUUGCUUUUUGAAGGUUUAGCCUUGUCUUCCCUGGGGGGUACGCAGGACAAAUGAUAGGGACUUUAUAGAUUCAACUUCUUAUGAGUUGUACAGCUCUAUUGUGUGCAUAUGUUUCUCGGGUUUUUAUUGCAAGGAUUGACGUUGCUUGCUAUGUCUGCUUACACAGUUUAUCUACUAUAUGUAUUUAUAUAUAAACUACAUUUAUUUCUGUAAUUCUUUAUUACGUGAGCAGUAGAUGGUGUUUGUGAUGAGCUAGUCAUAAAAUGACAUGUCAUUUUACUCUUCCCACAGGACAGAUUUUUUUUUUUUUUUUUUUUUUUUAUGUUGUGAUGUUUUUUUCCUGUCUGUUUUGAAGAGAUUCAGAUUUCAGUCAAAAAGUGAGUUGGGCAAGAUACUCCCAAAAGAAAGGUUUAGGAUCAUGACCCCAAUGUUGGCUAUAGCUAAGAAAUAACCAUGUGAGGCUGCAGGACCAGGUUGUACGUUAAUCCGAAUGUACAAUUACAGAUCCACUGCAACAGCUACAGUCCUUGUGCCAUCACUGCCUGAUAUACUUGCCUAUACAAUGCAAUGGGAAGUUGGAUGUAAAACUCUAAAACCAAAAAUAACAGAAAUUUUAAAAGGAACAAAUCUUGGUGAAUCCUUUUGUAUGAAAAAAAGUAUGCUUAUAUUUAUAUACAUCCAUUAAAAAUACUUAACCUACAGAAAUCUUUAUCUUUUGCAUUAAUUGAACAUGCAGAACUGUUGAUUGUUACCAUUCUCCAUCUCCAAAAUACAGUUACACCCUGACUGAGGUUUUUGUUAUAUUAUUCCAUUAGGAGGGAUAUCUGGCCAGCUGCACUGCUCAGGAGAGAUGCCACGGGACUGCCUGGAAACAAGUAAUUGAAAGUGAGAAAUAAAGAGCAGUGAUGCCAUCAACUCCUGGAACAUGUGCUGCCCUUGGGUCUUUGGAAGGAGAUAGGCUUAUUCAGAUUUUUUUAAAGGCAGUGAAAAGUCUUGUCACAGAUAACCUUCACUGCCAAGUACAACACCUCUGAAGAUGCUUUGCAACUACUUUAAAUGAGACACAUUUCUGGUUUUGAAAAUUUCCUUCCCACCUAAAAUCAAAAUUCCAUACUGUAGAGCAGUAGUCCCUAGUCCCUCAACUGAUCUCUCAGAGAACCAGGGGACUGAAUCCAUCCUCAGUAGAAGCCACAUUGGCUAACCAGGCUAUUUCUGCAGUUACCAGGUAUCUCUCCGUCAUCUGAACAAAAACCCCACAAAACCAGUGCCAGCAGU